AUUGAACGCUGGCGGCAGGCCUAACACAUGCAAGUCGAACGAGUGGCGGACGGGUGAGUAAUGUCUGGGAAUCUGCCUGAUGGAGGGGGAUAACUACUGGAAACGGUAGCUAAUACCGCAUACCAUCAGAUGUGCCCAGAUGGGAUUAGCUUGUUGGUGGGGUAACGGCUCACCAAGGCGACGAUCCCUAGCUGGUCUGAGCGGAAGACCAGCCACACUGGGACUGAGACACGGCCCAGACUCCUACGGGAGGCAGCAGUGGGGAAUAUUGCACAAUGGGCGCAAGCCUGAUGCAGCCAUGCCGCGUGUAUGAAGAAGGCCUUCGGGUUGUAAAGUACUUUCAGUGGGGAGGCGUUACCGACAGAAGAAGCACCGGCUAACUCCGUGCCAGCAGCCGCGGUAAUAC
rnacentral:rRNA from 1 species